UACGUAGGGGGCAAGCGUUAUCCGGAUUUACUGGGUGUAAAGGGAGCGUAGACGGCAAUGCAAGUCUGGAGUGAAAGGCGGGGGCCCAACCCCCGGACUGCUCUGGAAACUGUAUAGCUGGAGUGCAGGAGAGGUAAGUGGAAUUCCUAGUGUAGCGGUGAAAUGCGUAGAUAUUAGGAGGAACACCAGUGGCGAAGGCGGCUUACUGGACUGUAACUGACGUUGAGGCUCAAAGCGUGGGGAGCAAACAGG
rnacentral:rRNA from 1 species